AGAGUUUGAUCAUGGCUCAGGAUGAACGCUGGCGGCGUGCCUAACACAUGCAAGUCGAACGGAGCUGCUUUGAUGAAGUUUUCGGAUGGAUUUAAAGCAGCUUAGUGGCGGACGGGUGAGUAACGCGUGGGUAACCUGCCUCACACUGGGGGAUAACAGUUAGAAAUAGCUGCUAAUACCGCAUAAGCGCACGGUUCCGCACUGGAACAGUGUGAAAACUACCGGU
rnacentral:rRNA from 1 species